CUGCACCUGUUCGCAGGGGGCCUCCAGCUGCUGUCCCGGGCGGGCUUGGCACAUCCACGCAUGCAAAGCAAGGAGGUUCCGAGGGCUUCACCAAACAGUUAAUUUUGGCAAAAAGAGAAAACAAACAAAGAGCUAAAACUCAUAGCGGGGU